rnacentral:rRNA from 1 species
ACGCUGGCGGCAGGCCUAACACAUGCAAGUCGAGCGGCAGCACGGGUACUUGUACCUGGUGGCGAGCGGCGGACGGGUGAGUAAUGCCUAGGAAUCUGCCUGGUAGUGGGGGAUAACGCUCGGAAACGGACGCUAAUACCGCAUACGUCCUACGGGAGAAAGCAGGGGACCUUCGGGCCUUGCGCUAUCAGAUGAGCCUAGGUCGGAUUAGCUAGUUGGUGGGGUAAUGGCUCACCAAGGCGACGAUCCGUAACUGGUCUGAGAGGAUGAUCAGUCACACUGGAACUGAGACACGGUCCAGACUCCUACGGGAGGCAGCAGUGGGGAAUAUUGGACAAGGGGCGAAAGCCUGAUCCAGCCAUGCCGCGUGUGUGAAGAAGGUCUUCGGAUUGUAAAGCACUUUAAGUUGGGAGGAAGGGCAGUUACCUAAUACGUAUCUGUUUUGACGUUACCGACAGAAUAAGCACCGGCUAACUCUGUGCCAGCAGCCGCGGUAAUACAGAGGGUGCAAGCGUUAAUCGGAAUUACUGGGCGUAAAGCGCGCGUAGGUGGUUUGUUAAGUUGAAUGUGAAAUCCCCGGGCUCAACCUGGGAACUGCAUGCAAAACUGGCAAGCUAGAGUAUGGUAGAGGGUGGUGGAAUUUCCUGUGUAGCGGUGAAAUGCGUAGAUAUAGGAAGGAACACCAGUGGCGAAGGCGACCACCUGGACUGAUACUGACACUGAGGUGCGAAAGCGUGGGGAGCAAAC